GUCCACGCCCUAAACGAUGCAUAUUUGGUGUAGGUCAUUCAGUUGAUCUGUGCCGGAGCUAACGCGUUAAAUAUGCCGCCUGGGGAGUACAGUCGCAAGGCUGAAACUCAAAGGAAUUGACGGGGGCCCCGCACAAGCGGUGGAGCAUGUGGUUCAAUUCGACGCAACGCGAAGAACCUUACCUGGGCUCGAACGGCUGGUUAACGGCAUUGGAAACAGUGCUACUCCGCAAGGAGGUCCAGUCGAGGUGCUGCAUGGCUGUCGU
rnacentral:rRNA from 1 species